rnacentral:rRNA from 1 species
UGGGGAAUAUUGCACAAUGGGCGCAAGCCUGAUGCAGCGACGCCGCGUGCGGGAUGGAGGCCUUCGGGUUGUAAACCGCUUUUGUUCAAGGGCAAGGCACGGUCUUUGGCCGUGUUGAGUGGAUUGUUCGAAUAAGCACCGGCUAACUACGUGCCAGCAGCCGCGGUAAUACGUAGGGUGCAAGCGUUAUCCGGAUUUAUUGGGCGUAAAGGGCUCGUAGGCGGUUCGUCGCGUCCGGUGUGAAAGUCCAUCGCUUAACGGUGGAUCCGCGCCGGGUACGGGCGGGCUUGAGUGCGGUAGGGGAGACUGGAAUUCCCGGUGUAACGGUGGAAUGUGUAGAUAUCGGGAAGAACACCAAUGGCGAAGGCAGGUCUCUGGGCCGUUACUGACGCUGAGGAGCGAAAGCGUGGGGAGCGAACAGG